AGUGAACGCUGGCGGUAGGCCUAACACAUGCAAGUCGAACGGCAGCACAGUAAGCGCUUGCUCUUACGGGUGGCGAGUGGCGGACGGGUGAGGAAUACAUCGGAAUCUACUUUUUCGUGGGGGAUAACGUAGGGAAACUUACGCUAAUACCGCAUACGACCUACGGGUGAAAGCAGGAGAUCUUCGGACCUUUCGCGAUUGAAUGAGCCGAUGUCGGAUUAGCUAGUUGGCGAGGUAAAGGCCCACCAAGGCGACGAUACGUAGCUGGUCUGAGAGGAUGAUCGGCCACACUGGAACUGAGACACGGUCCAGACUCCUACGGGAGGCAGCAGUGGGGAAUAUUGGACAAUGGGCGCAAGCCUGACGCAGCCAUACCGCGUGAGUGAAGAAGGCCUUCGGGUUGUAAAGCCCUUUUGUUGGGAAAGAAAAGCAGCAGGUUAAUACCCGGCUGUUCUGACGGUACCCAAAGAAUAAGCACCGGCUAACUUCGUG
rnacentral:rRNA from 1 species